AUUGAACGCUGGCGGCAUGCCUUACACAUGCAAGUCGAACGGCAGCACGGGUGCUUGCACCUGGUGGCGAGUGGCGAACGGGUGAGUAAUACAUCGGAACAUGUCCUGUAGUGGGGGAUAGCCCGGCGAAAGCCGGAUUAAUACCGCCUACGAUCUACGGAUGAAAGCGGGGGACCUUCGGGCCUCGCGCUAUAGGGUUGGCCGAUGGCUGAUUAGCUAGUUGGUGGGGUAAAGGCCUACCAAGGCGACGAUCAGUAGCUGGUCUGAGAGGACGACCAGCCACACUGGGACUGAGACACGGCCCAGACUCCUACGGGAGGCAGCAGUGGGGAAUUUUGGACAAAGGGCGAAAGCCUGAUCCAGCAAUGCCGCGUGCGUGAAGAAGGCCUUCGGGUUGUAAAGCACUUUUGUCCGGAAAGAAAUCCUUGGCCCUAAUACGGUCGGGGGAUGACGGUACCGGAAGAAUAAGCACCGGCUAACUACGUG
rnacentral:rRNA from 1 species